GCAGUAGCCGCGGUAAAACGUAGGGCGCAAGCGUUAUCCGGAAUUAUUGGGCGUAAAGAGCUCGUAGGCGGUUUGUCGCGUCUGCCGUGAAAGUCCGGGGCUCAACCCCGGAUCUGCGGUGGGCACGGGCAGACUAGAGUGAUGUAGGGGAGACUGGAAUUCCUGGUGUAGCGGUGAAAUGCGCAGAUAUCAGGAGGAACACCGAUGGCGAAGGCAGGUCUCUGGGCAUUAACUGACGCUGAGGAGCGAAAGCAUGGGGAGCGAACAGGAUUAGAUACCCCGGUAGUCCCUGUCUCUUAUAC
rnacentral:rRNA from 1 species